CCUACGGGGGGCAGCAGUGGGGAAUAUUGGGCAAUGGAGGCAACUCUGACCCAGCAACGCCGCGUGAAUGAUGAAGGUCUUCGGAUUGUAAAGUUCUGUGAUGGGGGAUGAACACAAUGACGGUACCCCAAUAGCAAGCCACGGCUAACUACGUGGCAGCAGCCGCCGUAAUACGUAGGUGGCAAGCGUUAUCCGGAAUGACUGGGUGUAAAGGGCGUGUUGGCGGGGACGCAAGUCAGAUGUGAAAACCACGGGCUCAACCUGUGGCCUGCAUUUGAAACUGUGUUUCUUGAGUACUGGAGAGGAAGACGGAAUUCCUGGUGUAGCGGUGAAAUGCGUAGAUAUUAGGAGGAACACCAGUGGCGAAGGCGGUCUGCUGGACAGCAACUGACGCUGAGGCGCGAAAGCGUGGGGAGCAAACAGGAUUAGAUACCCCAGUAGUC
rnacentral:rRNA from 1 species